rnacentral:rRNA from 1 species
UUGACUGCCGGUGACAAACCGGAGGAAGGUGGGGAUGACGUCAAAUCAUCAUGCCCCUUAUGAUUUGGGCUACACACGUGCUACAAUGGACAAUACAAAGGGUAGCGAAACCGCGAGGUCAAGCAAAUCCCAUAAAGUUGUUCUCAGUUCGGAUUGUAGUCUGCAACUCGACUAUAUGAAGCUGGAAUCGCUAGUAAUCGUAGAUCAGCAUGCUACGGUGAAUACGUUCC